rnacentral:rRNA from 1 species
UACGAAGGGGGCUAGCGUUGUUCGGAAUUACUGGGCGUAAAGCGUGCGCAGGCGGUUUUGUAAGUCUGACGUGAAAUCCCCGGGCUCAACCUGGGAAUUGCGUUGGAGACUGCAAGGCUGGAGUCUGGCAGAGGGGGGUAGAAUUCCACGUGUAGCAGUGAAAUGCGUAGAGAUGUGGAGGAACACCGAUGGCGAAGGCAGCCCCCUGGGUCAAGACUGACGCUCAUGCACGAAAGCGUGGGGAGCAAACAGG